rnacentral:rRNA from 1 species
UGGGGAAUAUUGCACAAUGGGGGAAACCCUGAUGCAGCGACGCCGCGUGAACGAAGAAGGUAUUCGUAUCGUAAAGUUCUGUCCUAUGGGAAGAUAAUGACAGUACCAUAGAAGAAAGCUCCGGCUAAAUACGUGCCAGCAGCCGCGGUAAUACGUAUGGAGCGAGCGUUGUCCGGAAUUAUUGGGCGUAAAGGGUACGCAGGCGGUUUAAUAAGUCGAAUGUUAAAGAUCGGGGCUCAACCCCGUAAAGCAUUGGAAACUGAUAAACUUGAGUAGUGGAGAGGAAAGUGGAAUUCCUAGUGUAGUGGUGAAAUACGUAGAUAUUAGGAGGAAUACCAGUAGCGAAGGCGACUUUCUGGACACAAACUGACGCUCAGGUACGAAAGCGUGGGGAGCAAACAGG